rnacentral:rRNA from 1 species
UACGUAGGCGGCCAUAUAAGUCAGAAGUGAAAGGCUACGGCUUAACCGUAGUAAGCUUUUGAAACUGUAUGGCUUGAGUGCAGGAGAGGAAAGCGGAAUUCCUAGUGUAGCGGUGAAAUGCGUAGAUAUUAGGAAGAACACCAGUAGCGAAGGCGGCUUUCUGGACUGAAACUGACGCUGAGGUACGAAAGCGUGGGGAGUGAACAGGAUUAGAUACCCUGGUAGUCC